ensembl:lncRNA
UUUCCCUUCAGCAAGAAGCUAUGGGGAGCUUCUAGUCUAAUGCUGUUCCUCUGCUUUUGAGUACAAUGCCUCAGACUCACUUCACUCACCAGAUGAAAUCUCUGAGGAUCUUUCCUGUGUCUGUAUUGUUGCAGCUGAAUUUCUGCACGGCAGCCUUUCUCGAAUGCAGUAGGGCUUCCCUGGCUUGAAGAUGGGUGUGCUGUCCUGAGGGAGGAGCAGUGUUGACUGUCUUACAGUGACCUUCUGCUUUCCUUUAAGAAGAGUCCACUAAGAACUGUAUUGGGUUUUUUCAGUAGGUAACUCAGGAGAGGGCUUCUCGGUGAAAUCCUUUGUGUUGAAUUGCAGAGGCUGUCACUGGAACACACAGGAACAGUCAGAGCAAUUACUGAAUUGGACUGUCUGAGCUGAAAGUUGAUGGUGCAUCCCUCUGGUAGAGGGAAUGCAAAAAAGAGAGGUCUUGAAUCAGUAGUGAGUUUAUUGCUGAAGAGCAAAGAUUCGUAUCUCACCCUAAGCUGGGUGUUUUUCACUGCCACACGCCCAGUCAUUUCACUAUACCCAUGUUCUGCCUGGUACCACUCUGACUACCUUCUACCACUAACAACCAGAAUGGCUGAGCAAGGAGUACUGUUUGCAGCUAGGAAGCCAAAACAGCCAAAACCCUUCUGUUGCUUCCUUCUGUGUUCUGUGGGGGUGCACAGUCAGAAGAGAGCUUCCACCAUGCAUACCAGUCCUUAUAAAGUAUCUUUCCUUAUGAACACCAGUACGGACUCCCUUUCACUGUCUCUUUUAGCUGGAGACCUGGGCUGUGCAUCUGUGUUCCUCCAUCUACAAUGAGAAGAAAGGGGUUUGUUUUUUUUUAAUUUCAUUGUUGUAACAAAUAAAA